CCCCACUGCUAUCGGGAUGGGACUAAGACAUGCUAGUCGAGCUUCUCCAAGCUAUGGUGGAGACGCGGCGAACAGCUCAGUAACACGUGGCCAACCUACCCUUGGGACAGGGACAACCCCGGGGAACUGAGGUUAAUCCCUGAUAGGUGAAAACUCCUGGAAUGGAUUUUCGCUUAAAGGGCAUUUAAACCAUGCUAUAGGUGUCGCCCAAGGAUGGGGCCGCGGCCGAUCAGGUUGUUGGUGAGGUAACGGCUCACCAAGCCUAUAACCGGUACGGGCCGUGAGAGCGGAAGCCCGGAGAUGGGCACUGAGAUAAGGGCCCAGGCCCUACGGGGCGCAGCAGUUACGAAAACUCCCCAAUUCACGAAAGUGUGAGGGGGCUAUCCCGAGUGCCGUCCGCUGAGGAUGGCUUUUCCCCAUUGUAUAAAGCUGGGGGAAUAAGGAGAGGGCAAGACUGGUGUCAGCCGCCGCGGUAAUACCAGCUCUCCGAGUGGUGGGGACGUUUAUUGGGCCUAAAGCAUCCGUAGCCUGUUGGAAAAGUCCUCCGUUAAAUCCACCGAUUCAAUCGUUGGGCUGCGGGGGAUACUAUUCAACUAGGGAGCGGGAGAGGCUGACAGUAUUCUCGGGGUAGGGGUGAAAUCCUAUAAUCCCGAGAGGACCACCAGUGGCGAAGGCUGUUAGCUAGAACGCGUCCGACGGUGAGGGAUGAAAGCUGGGGGGAGCGAACCGGAUUAGAUACCCGGGUAGUCCCAGCUGUAAACUCUGCAGGCUAGGUGUUGGAGCGGCUACGCGCCGCCUCAGUGCCCAAGGGAAGCCGUUAAGCCUGCCGCCUGGGAAGUACGGUCGCAAGGCUGAAACUUAAAGGAAUUGGCGGGGGAGCACCACAAGGGGUGAAGCUUGCGGGUUU
rnacentral:rRNA from 1 species